UACAGAGGUCUCAAGCGUUGUUCGGAUUCAUUGGGCGUAAAGGGUGCGUAGGCGGCGCGGUAAGUCGGGUGUGAAAUCUCGGAGCUUAACUCCGAAACUGCAUUCGAUACUGCCGUGCUUGAGGACUGGAGAGGAGACUGGAAUUUACGGUGUAGCGGUGAAAUGCGUAGAUAUCGGGAGGAACACCUAUGGCGAAGGCAGCUCGCUGGGACGGUACUGACGCUGAGACGCGAAAGCGUGGGGAGCAAACAGG
rnacentral:rRNA from 1 species